rnacentral:rRNA from 1 species
AGAGGUCGGUCAGCCACAAGGGGACUGAGACACGGCCCCUACACCUACGGGUGGCAGCAACCGGGAAUCGUUCGCAAUGGGCGAAAGCCUGACGACGCGACGCCGCGUGGAGGAUGACAGCCUUCGGGUUGUAAACUUCUUUUACUGUGCAUAAUGCACAGCGAAUAAGCACUCACUAACUACGUGCCAGCCCCGCACCAAUUUGGUGUAGGAGGCUGGAGGCGCGUAGUCAUCGCAGUAAUGUGAUGAAAGAAAAUCUCGCUAUAUGCUGGAAAACCUUGAUGUGUCCGCAAAUUAUUCUGUGUAGACAGACGCGCACCAUGGCAAUCAGCAGGCAACCUCAAGUCUAACUUGAGAGAGUCCUCAGAGACUAUACGCGAGACCCCUGCUAAAACAGGGUGAAGAGAUAGUCCAAGGGAACCGCAAAUUUGGUGCGGGGCCAGCAGUUGCGGUAAAACGUAGGGUGCAAGCGUUAUCCGGAUUUAUUGGGCGUAAGGCGUUUCGUAGGCGCCCCGCUGCAUCUUGUUUUAAAGACCAAGGCUUAACUUUGGAAAAAGACAAGAGAUGAGCGGGGUUGAGGGUUUUUGGGGGUGUUGGAAUUCGCGGUGAAGCAGUGAAAUGCGUUGAUAUCGCGAGGAACGCCAAGGGCGAAGGCAAACACCUAAAAAACUUCUGACGCUGAGGGACGAAAGCUAGGGGAGCGAAAGGGAUUAGAGACCCCUGUAGUCCUAGCCGUAAACUCUGCUCGCUAGAUGCCUGGUCUUUUUGAUUGGGUGUCGUAAGCUAACGCGUUAAGCGAGCCGCCUGGGGAGUACGGCCGCAAGGCUAAAACUCAAAGGAAUUGACGGGGAGCUGCACAACCAGGGGAGCGUGUGGUUUAAUUCGAGACAAAGCGAAGGACCUUACCUGGGUUUGACAUCCCGCACCUAAUGCUUUUUCUGAAAGGAAGAAGAAUACUCUUUGAGUAGGUGCGGGACAGCUGCUGCAUGGCUGUCGUCAGCUCGUGCCGUGAGGUGUUGGCUUAAGUGCCAUAACGAGCGCAACCCCUUUUGUCUGUUGAAUAUUCAGACGAGACGGUCCCGCCUUUUUGGCGGGAAGGAAGGAGGGNNNNNNNNNNNNNNNNNNNNNNNNNNNNGUCCAGGGCAACACACACACUACAAUGGACAAAAACAACGAGUUGCAAGCCGGUAACGGCAAGCUAAUCUCUGAAACUUGUCCUCAGUUCGGAUUGUGGGCUGCAACUCGCCCACAUGAAGAUGGACUUGGUAGUAAUCGCGGGUCAGCAAACCGCGGUGAAUACGUUCUCAGCUCUUGUACAAAAAAUUGCGCCUACCGACUUACUUUUCCACUCCGUUUGAAUCGGAGCAAAAAAGAAUAAGUUUUUGAAGCGAAAUAGCAUCCU